CUUUGGGAGGCUGAGGCAGGAUCACCUGAGGCCUGAAGAUGGACCUGGGAGAGCACGACCUCGCCACAACAUCACCAUCCUGAUCAGAGGCGAGAGGGGACAAGGUCAUAGGUGUGGAGAUUUUCAGGUUUUGGGGAAAGCGAUUCUGAGAACUCUGAAGGCUAUUUCCACGGAAAUGAGAAGAAAAAUAUUUUCCAAGGACCAAGUACCCACCGGCCACCGUGGGAAAUGUUUUCACGGCCGCUACACUGAAGUUUCACUGCCACCUAGGGAAGUUGCUAUCAC
ensembl:lncRNA novel transcript